rnacentral:rRNA from 1 species
GAUGAACGCUGGCGGCGUGCCUAAUACAUGCAAGUCGAGCGAACAGACGAGGAGCUUGCUCCUCUGACGUUAGCGGCGGACGGGUGAGUAACACGUGGAUAACCUACCUAUAAGACUGGGAUAACUUCGGGAAACCGGAGCUAAUACCGGAUAAUAUAUUGAACCGCAUGGUUCAAUAGUGAAAGACGGUUUUGCUGUCACUUAUAGAUUGAUCCGCGCCGCAUUAGCUAGUUGGUAAUGUAACGGCUUACCAAGGCAACGAUGCGUAGCCGACCUGAGAGGGUGAUCGGCCACACUGGAACAGAGACACGGUACAGACUACGACGGGAGGCAGCAGUAGGGAAUCUUCCGCAAUGGGCGAAAGCCGGACGGAGCAACGCCGCGUGAGUGAUGAAGGUCUUCGGAUCGUAAAACUCUGUUAUUAGGGAAGAACAAAUGUGUAAGUAACUAUGCACGUCUUGACGGUACCUAAUCAGAAAGCCACGGCUAACUACGUG